AUGCGGUCCCCGACUCCAGAGAAAAAGAAGGGCGGCCCGAACCCCACGGUCAGGCCCAGCCUCUCAGCCCCCCGGAACCGCCCGGCCCCGACCCGGGUCACCUCCUGGUCCCCCUGCGGCCGGGGGCGCGGACGCGUCCAUGCGCGCGGCCGGGACUCCGUUCGGUUCCGGGUCCCAGCCGUGACCUCGGCUCCAACUUCCAAGGACGGACCGGACGGGCCGGCGGCGACUGCUCAGCCUGGCUUUGGCAUCCCGGGCUCCAGAGCGGCAGCUGCGGCCCAGCGCUGGGCAGAACCCGAAGGCUCGGCGAGAUUGGAGGCGGGAGGAUGUUUGAGAGAGGAAAGUGACACUCAUUGUCUCCUUGCUGAACGAGCAUCCUACACCAGAGGACAAUCCCCGUCUGAAGACAGCCCAGACACACGAUCACGCUGACAUCCAGGGUUAGCGAUUACACCAGUAACGGGCACAGGAAGACAGCUACUGUCUUGUAGAUAUGUAUUUGGAUUCUAUCUAAAUUUAAAAAGAAAUUUUUGGAAACAUUUUUAUAUCUGCUUUGGUAAAGUUGCAAAUAAAACUAAUUUCUGUUGUCAUAGUUGUUACAUUUCCCUUAUUUGUAUUCCCAUCUCUGUGUGUUUACAGACUUGGAAUUUUCUGAGAGAAAGAAAUUUCCUGAGAACAUCUUACAAAUCUUUAAAACAAUCAAUAUACAUGGUUAUUAUUUUUAAUUUUUUCUCUUUAUAUUUAUAAAAAUAGAUGAUUAAAAGUUAGAUUCUAUCAG
rnacentral:lncRNA from 1 species